rnacentral:rRNA from 1 species
CAAGUGCGAUUGAUUCAGCGGACGCCGUUCGAUCUUGUGCGGCCGCCGCGUGAUUCCAGCUCCAUAGCGUAUAUUAAAGUUGUUGCGGUUAAAAAGCUCGCAGUUGAACCUUGGGCCUGGCUGGCCGGUCCGCCUCACCGCGUGCACUGGUCCGGCCGGGCCUUUCCCUCUGUGGAACCCCAUACCCUUCACUGGGCGUGGCGGGGAAACAGGACAUUUACUUUGAAAAAAUUAGAGUGCUCCAGGCAGGCCUAUGCUCAAAUACAUUAUCAUGGAAUAAUAAAAUAAGACGCGCGGUUCUAUUUUGUUGGUUUAUAGGACCGCCGUAAUGAUUAAUAGGGACAGUCGGGGGCAUCAGUAUUCAACUGUCAGAGGUGAAAUUCUUAGAUCAGUUGAAGACUAACUACUGCGAAAGCAUUUGCCAAGGAUGUUUUCAUUAAUCAGGAACGAAAGUUAGGGGAUCGAAGACGAUCAGAUACCGUCGUAGUCUUAACCAUAAACUAUGCCGACUAGGGAUCGGACGGUGUUAUUCAUGACCCGUUCGGCACCUUACGAGAAAUAAAGUGCUUGGGUCGGGGGGGAAUAUAAAGGUCCGCAAGGCUGAAACUUAAAGAAAUUGACGGAAGGGCACCACCAGGGGUGGAGCCUGCGGCUUAAUUUGACUCAACACGGGGAAACUCACCAGGUCCAGACACAAUAAGGAUUGACAGAUUGAGAGCUCUUUCUUGAUUUUGUGGGUGGUGGUGCAUGGCCGUUCUUAGUUGGUGGGGUGACUUGUCUGCUUAAUUGCGAUAACGAACGAGACCUUAACCUGCUAAAUAGCCCGCAUUGCUCCGGCAGUGCCGCUGGCUUCUUU